rnacentral:rRNA from 1 species
UACAGGGGGUGCAAACGUUGCUCGGAAUUACUGGGCGUAAAGCGCACGUAGGCGGCUUUCUAAGUCGGGGGUGAAAUCCUGGAGCUCAACUCCAGAACUGCCUUCGAUACUGGAGAGCUUGAGUCCGGGAGAGGUGAGUGGAACUGCGAGUGUAGAGGUGAAAUUCGUAGAUAUUGGGAAGAACACCGGUGGCGAAGGCGGCUCACUGGCUCAUUUCUGACGCUCAGGCGCGACAGCGUGGGGAUCAAACAGG